rnacentral:ribozyme from 1 species
GGAAAAGGAAAGGGAAAGGGAAAAUGAAAAGAAGAAAAACAGAGAGGACAGAUCAGACACGCGUACGCCUUCUUCCUCUUUCUUGUCCAAUGCUUAUGCUUACGUCUGCUCUCUUCGCUUGCAUUUUCGUU